rnacentral:tRNA from 1 species
GGAGAGGUGGGUGAGUGGCUUAAACCAGCGGUUUGCUAAACCGCCGUAGGGGCUUAAACCUCUACCGAGAGUUCAAAUCUCUCCCUCUCCGCCA